GGAUAAACGCUGGCGGCGUGCUUCAGGCAUGCAAGUCGAACGAGUGGCCACCUUCGGGUGGUCUACUAGUGGCGGACGGGUGAGUAACGCGUUAGCAACCUGCCCAAAAGUGGGGAAUAACUAACCGAAAGGUUAGCUAAUACCGCAUGUGAUAGCUGGUUCUUGGACCGGUUAUGAAAGGCUUCGGCCGCUUUUGGAGGGGCUUGCGUCAGAUUAGCUAGUUGGUGGGGUAAUGGCCUACCAAGGCGACGAUCUGUAGCUGGUCUGAGAGGACGAUCAGCCACACGGGGACUGAGAUACGGCCCCGACUCCUACGGGAGGCAGCAGCUAGGAAUCUUGGGAAUGGGCGAAAGCCUGACCCAGCAACGCCGCGUGGGCGAUGAAGGCCUUCGGGUCGUAAAGCCCUUUUGCAGGGGACGAUGAUGACGGUACCCUGCGAAUAAGCCACGGCUAACUACGUGCCAGCAGCCGCGGUAAUACGUAGGUGGCGAGCGUUGUCCGGAUUUACUGGGCGUAAAGGGCGUGCAGGCGGUUUGUUAAGUGCAGGGUGAAAGCUCCCGGCUCAACUGGGAGAGGUCCUUGCAUACUGGCGAACUCGAGGGAGGCAGAGGAAAGUGGAAUUCCCGGUGUAGUGGUGAUAUGCGUAGAUAUCGGGAGGAACACCUGUGGCGAAGGCGGCUUUCUGGGCCUUACCUGACGCUGAGACGCGAAAGCGUGGGGAGCGAACCGGAUUAGAUACCCGGGUAGUCCACGCCGUAAACUAUGGACACUAGGUGUGGGGGGUAUCGACCCCCUCCGUGCCGAAGCUAACGCAAUAAGUGUCCCGCCUGGGGAGUACGGCCCGCAAGGCU
rnacentral:rRNA from 1 species